GGUGUCCUACGGGGCGCAGCAGUGAGGAAUAUUGGUCAAUGGGCGGUAGCCUGAACCAGCCACGUAGCGUGAAGGAUGAAGGUUCUAUGGAUUGUAAACUUCUUUUAUAAAGGAAUAAAGUGAGGCUCGUGCGCCUUUUUGUAUGUACUUUAUGAAUAAGGAUCGGCUAACUCCGUGCCAGCAGCCGCGGUAAUACGGAGGAUCCGAGCGUUAUCCGGAUUUAUUGGGUUUAAAGGGAGCGUAGAUGGGUUGUUAAGUCAGUUGUGAAAGUUUGCGGCUCAACCGUAAAAUUGCAUUUGAUACUU
rnacentral:rRNA from 1 species